AUUUAAGCAAUGGAAACAGGAAGCAUUUCACUUUUCCCCUCCAUGCUUCCUCCAGUGGUGGGAUGUGAGCCACUGGCAAGGAGUCUUCACAAAGGUCACCUUCAUAUUGGAAGUUUCCACUGCACAUGAUUUAACUUGAGGUCUAUACCAGGAGAAGGAUCCCAUAUCCUACACUGCCUGGAUGAUCAGGAACCAUAGACUGAACAGCCUGUGGUAGAAUCAGAGACCUAAGGAUGUGCAACUGUUGCAAGAUGCCAUGAACAAGAUGACUUCCUCUUACUCCUAGAACCACACGCAGAAUUGCACGGAUACUUUCCUCUGAGUCUCCAGCUCCAAGUCCUGAGAAGCCAAAUUCAGGGAGAAGAUGUCCAGGAGACCAUGGCUAGAAGCCUUCUCCAAGGCAGGAAUGACAAAGACAUUAGAGUCAGCAUGUGAUCUACUUAGGCUAUUGUAUAUGGCUUGCAAGCCUUUGCAGGCCCUUGUCCAGAAUAGGAAGCCUAGACAUCAUGUCCCUUGCUCAUAACUUCCUUCUCUCUGCUCCUUAUAUUCUGGCCAGUAACCAGCCUGAGUCCCCUCUCCCUGAAAUUGUCCACAGUAUUACUCAAACUCUGUGCCUCAGCUUAAUGGGCUCUUCUGACUGCAUUACCCCCUCCAUUAGCAUUAUGACAAAUUCUUGUGUUCCAGAAAGUUACAACUGUCACCCAGUCAAUCUACAGGAUUGAGGAUAUGCAUGUCCCCAUCAGGGGAGUAUCUGUCCCUGUAGAUUUGUGGUGACUGCUUCUCUUCUGUCCAGCUUUAUCUCUGGCAACUGACAAAAAUGUUCAGCAAAACAUUGGUGCUGGGGAAAAAUCUAUGCAGAACAAAAGAAAGAAAUGGCCAUAACGACAUAGUGUAAAUGUUCAAAUAUGAAGAAUUAUAGGAGUAGUGAAAGAAAGGUGAAGAAUUUGUAGAUGAAGGAUAUGGAGUGGAAGCUGGAGAUAUGUUUCUAAGACAAAGAGAUAAGAGCAGAACAGGACAAGACAAGAGGAAAGCAUGAGGUUGUUGAAAAAUCUGUUACUACAGAUAACGUGCAGGACACUAUAAAUAUGUUAAACACUGAAUUGCCUAACUAAAGUAAUGGUUGAAAAAUAUGCUAGUGUAGUUAAAAACAAUAUACUUAUAAAAUUUUAAUAUUCUGAGAAAGUAACUUACAAAGUCGACUUCAUAAAAUGCCAGUAUACUUAAGUCAUUGAAUACAUUGACAGAUUUUUAAGAAAAGUAAUGCAAUUCUGUCAUGUGGAAAUUUUUCUUCAAACUGGAAAGUAAGUAAUCUUUUGUUGCAUAUAGUAUUUAUAUUACAGAGCUAGAAUAAUUGCCUAUUGACACUGCCACUUUGUAUGUGCGGGAUGUGUGUGAAUGUUUAUUCUGUGAAGAGAUGAGAUCUUUGUGUCAGAAAUAUGGCAAAUAAACAUGAGGCUAUUACUGAUAAAAGUCACUAAAUGUCAUUGUUUUAUACAUAACUUCAAAGAUACUAGACUAUCUUUGUUGUAGUUUUCUAACAGAUGAUAAUUAUAAGUCACAAUUGGCACAGAAAAAAAAAUAAGACCAUUACAGUUUUUACAUAUAUUAUCUAAACAUCUACUUUCUCCUUACUGGCUGUAAUUGUGAUGAUCUCUUUUAAUCUGAGUUACUUCUGAUUGUGUGUGUUGUUGCAAAGUGAGUUCCUGGGACAUUUCAGCAUCUAUUGUUAAAAUCUCUGGAGAAGCAAUAAUGAUCAUGUAAUUAUUGUUCGUCAACAGUUUGACUAUUAUAUAUCAUUUACAGUCAAUUUAAUUAAAAAGCUCACUGAAUAUUCUGGCAUUAUGUAAAUAAUGUGAAUGAACACAAGAGCUAUUUGUUACGAAAAACACUUAAAAUAGUACUAUAGACACCACAUUUUGCAACUGGAUCGUUAUCUCAGUAUUUCUUAUAAAUAAGUCUUAGAAAAUUGUUUGUGCUACACUUUGAAUUUAGAAUUAAGAAGGGAUUCCUCUACUUUUACUGUGUGUCGCCUUGUUGUCAAUAUGAUUAAAACCCAGAUAAAAUGAGUCUACUGCUGAUAAGCUAUGAAAUAGAAGUAUUGCAUUUUCUUCAUGAUGAAUAAUACAAUACUCAGGUUUGGAAUGAGUGUGUUUUAGCCUAUGUCAGGUUAGAUUGCAUCCUGUCUAUGAUAUUUAUUUGAGUCAUGGGUCGCUUCUCAGGUUUUUUGAAAACUGUGAUGAACUAUUUGCAGAAAUGCUACAUCCUGUAUUUUUGCAUUAAGAUAAGAAGCAUAAAGUAAAAAUUCUUCCAUUAGUCAAAAAUAUAAUAAUAACUGCCUUAGGAUUGCUUUACUCUGAUGAAACAAAAGAAACUUGGGAAAAAAUUUGAAGGAAGGGAUUUAUUCAACUAUUACUUCCACAUUACAGUUCAUCCUCAAAUGAAUUUAGGACAGAUGCUCAAGCAGGAAAGGAACCUGAAGACAGAAAGUGAUACAGAAGCCAUGGAAGUUUGCUGCUUAGUUGGUUGCUUCCCAUUGCUUGCUCAGUCUGUUUUCUUAUAGAACCCAGGAACCACCAGUCCAGGAAUAGCACCACCCACAAUAGGCUGGGCCCACUCCCAUCAAUCACUAACUAAGAAAAUACCCUACAGGUUUGUCUACAGCCUGAUUUUAUGGAGGUAUUUUCUCAAGUGAGGUUCCUCCUCUCAGGUGACUUUAGCCUGUGUCAAGUGGAUAUGAAACUAGCCAGUCAGUACAGGAACCAACAUAAGGCAUAAACCCUCUUUAUAGGGAAGCCAAAGUAACAAGAGUUUUGAAAGUGAACACAUGAGUGAGUAGGUCCAGAGACAGGGGAAUCCUUAGAACUUGGUGAAAAUCCAUUGUAACUAAUGUAAGAGAACAAGGUUAAAUUUGAGAACCUGUCUCAAUAAAUAAAUAAGUAAAGAACAUGAGAGAAAUAAACCUGGAGUUGACAUCUGACCUCCACAUGUACAGAUAGAGGCAAGUACACCUAGACACAUUUGUGUAAACACACAUGCACUCACACAUACACACACACUCUCUUUCUCACACACUACAAACAUAUAUACUAAAAUAGGUAAAUGUCAAGUUAUUAAAUUGUAGCAUUUGUUUUUAAAGUUUACCUUAUACUAAGUGAAAUAGAAAUUAGUUAUUGUGUAAAGAUGUAAAGCUUUAUUCCCUCAAAGUCUUUAAAAGAUCAUCUAUUUCACAAUUCUUCCUAAAGCUAUCAUCAAUGUUUCAAUUCUUCUUUUAUUUACCCCAAAGGCAUGCUUGUCUACACUUAUGAUAUCAAAGAGAUGGUAUGAUGAGUUCAGAUUAAACAAAAUGUUUUGCUAAUCUAAAAUCAUUUAGCUAAAAAAUACCACUCAAUUUUAGUAUCCAUCUUAGACUGUAUUUUAAAUCAUAUUACAGUUUUCACAAAAAACAGGUAAACAAAGAUAUCCACCAUAACAUUAGGCACAAAAAUAAAAGAUACAGAUAUUGGGGUUCAGGCUUCAACCUGAAGAUCAUACAAGCAAAGCAGCUGGCCACUAGCUCUUACCUCUACCUCAGCUCAGACUAAAGGGGCAAUCCUCAGACUACUGCCAACUUUACUACUUCUCAGUUUCACUCAGACUGCUAUGCUUUCCUCAGAAUUGUUUUUUUGACUAACUCUCAGACUGAAUGCCUGUACCUUUUAUACUUCUCAAAUCCUGGGAUUAUAGGCAUGAGCUCUGAUUCACUCUCCGGUGGCCCAGGAGCAUCUUAUAUUCUGAGAUGUUCAAAAAUCUUAAUCCUGAGUCCUGGAUUUAAAUUUAUGUGCCUGGCUUCAAUGGCUAACUAGUGUGGCUGCUUUGCUAUUUUGAUUUUCAGUGGUUUUAAUAAAUCAUAAAAAAUAUUAGUCACCUGCCUCAUUGCUAUAACGCAGGGGGUGACAAGAAGCAUGUUAAAGGAGAAAAGGUGCCUUUUGACUCACAGUUACAGAUUGAAGCUCAUUACAGCAGGCAAGUCACAAUGGCAGGAUAUUGGGGUGGCUGUUCACAUUGAAUCCACAGACCAGAAGCAGAAGGUAUUGAUCCCCCUUGCUCAGGCCCUUCCAUGCUGGGGUUAAAGACGUGUGCUAUUACACCAAGCUUUCAUUAUGGGUCCUGGGAUCUAAACCCCAUGCUAAUUCUUUUGCAGUAGACAUUUUACCAACUGAGUCUUCCCACAUCUAAAUUUAACUAUUUUAAAUCAGCAGUUCUCAGGAAAUACACCAAAAUGGAAUUAUUCUACAGUUAUAUUUACUAUCAAUGUCUUCUCAUAACAUUUCAUCUAUUUCUUUGCAUGCUUACAGCUGAUUUAUUCUCCAUUCAUAACAUUUUAUUAUUUCCCCUAUAAGGAUUCAGGUAUUAUAUUGCCCUGCCGCUGUCACUUGGCAGAGUGCACUCAGGCAGUACCCUGGUCAGCCCUGAGCUCUAUGGAUUUUGCACACAGUUGCAAAGGACCCCAUUAAGAGAAAGACCCCAACCACAAAGUGGUCUUUUUGCCUGCUCAUCUCUUUCUGCUAUCUUCUCUUUCCUGAUCCUCUCUUUCCCCUGUCUUGCCUGCUGCUCCCCUGGGGCAGACCAGACUUUUCCUGUCUCCCCCUUCUCUCCUGUACUCUCUCUGUGUGUCUCUUUCCCCUUUUCUCGUCCCUUCCUCCUUCCAUCUCUGUUCCCAGUUGGCCAACAUCUACUCCUCCAUUCAUUCCCAUUCCCAACAAACUCCAUAUGUGUUUGCUGAGUUUUGUGGUUAGUGUUUCAUUGCCCACAGCCUCAGCAAAAACUACAUCCCCCACUGGAAGACAAAUGUUACACAAUCUCAAUUUUAUGUGUAACCUAGAAAUGAUGAACUUAUGGGAACAGAGAGCAGAAUUGUGGCUAUUAGGCUUCAAUGUGGGUCUUUUAACAAUGGGGAAACGAUUGGUUUAAGGAUAUAAAACUGCAGUUGGACAAGAGUCAUGGACUCUCUGAAGUCUUGAGGUCUACUGGGAGCAUGAUAAAUAUGGUUGAUAACAAUAUGCUCUAUUUUAAGAGUUGUGAGAUAGUAUACUUUAAGUGUUCUCAAAACAAAAAUGAUGAAUAUGUGUGAUAUAACAUGUUAAUUGGUUUAAUUUAGCCAUGCCAUUGUGAACAUACUGUAUUGUGUAUCAUAAUUGUGCAUGACUUUAUUUAUGAGCUAAAUAAAUGAAUGAAAAAAAACUGCAUCCCCUAUUAACACUGUCAUGCAUCAGUGGGCAGAAAAAUAAUAAUAUUCUCCUUAUGGAGAUACAGAUACUACCAAGGCUUUAUGAGACAAAUCCAAUAAUAAAAAUGCAUGUGAAAAUCCAUAUUUCUCUACUACAUUGAUUGGAGAGAUCCUGAUGUUGUAAAAUUUAAAGAAGUAAUUAUACCAAAUGAAAUAAUGAAUGAAUCAAAUAACCACAGGAAUGG
rnacentral:lncRNA from 1 species